UGUCCUUAGUUACCAGCACGUAAAGGUGGGGACUCCAGGGAGACUGCCGGUGACAAACCGGAGGAAGGUGGGGAUGACGUCAAGUCAUCAUGGCCCUUACGGCCAGGGCUACACACGUGCUACAAUGGAACGUACAGACGGUUGCGAAGCCGCGAGGUGAAGCUAAUCUGAGAAAACGUUUCGUANUCCGGAUCGGAGUCUGCAACUCGACUCCGUGAAGUCGGAAUCGCUAGUAAUCGCGAAUCANAAUGUCGCGGUGAAUACGUUCCCGGGCCUUG
rnacentral:rRNA from 1 species